CCUACGGGAGGCAGCAGUGGGGAAUAUUGCACAAUGGGGGAAACCCUGAUGCAGCGACGCCGCGUGAGUGAAGAAGUAAUUCGUUACGUAAAGCUCUAUCAGCAGGGAAGAAACACUGACCUUACGGUCAGCAGACGGUACCUGAGUAAGAAGCCCCGGCUAACUACGUGCCAGCAGCCGCGGUAAUCCGUAGGGGGCAAGCGUUAUCCGGAUUUACUGGGUGUAAAGGGGGCGCAGACGGCAAUGCAAGCCAGGAGUGAAAGCCCGGGGCCCAACCCCGGGACUGCUCUUGGAACUGCAUGGCUGGAGUACAGGAGGGGCAGGCGGAAGUCCUAGUGUAGCGGUGAAAUGCGUAGAUAUUAGGAGGAACACCGGUGGCGAAGGCGGCCUGCUGGACUGUGACUGACGUUGAGGCCCGAAGGCGUGGGGAGCAAACAGGAUUAGAUACCCGUGUAGUC
rnacentral:rRNA from 1 species